GGAAGCGUCUGGAAAGGCGCGCGAUACAGGGUGACAGCCCCGUACACAAAAGCGCAUGUGCUGUGAGCUCGAUGAGUAGGGCGGGACACGUGGUAUCCUGUCUGAAUAUGGGGGGACCAUCCUCCAAGGCUAAAUACUCCUGACUGACCGAUAGUGAACCAGUACCGUGAGGGAAAGGCGAAAAGAACCCCGGCGAGGGGAGUGAAAAAGAACCUGAAACCGUGUACGUACAAGCAGUGGGAGCCCCACCACUAAGCCAGUGGUGAACUCCACAUACGCAUCCUUUGCUGAGGAUACGGUUAACGGAGCGAAAGCGACGUUCAACCGCAAAAGAAGCAGAGGGGGCUUAGUGGUGGGGUGACUGCGUACCUUUUGUAUAAUGGGUCAGCGACUUAUAUUCUGUAGCAAGGUUAACCGAAUAGGGGAGCCGGAGGGAAACCGAGUCUUAACCGGGCGUUAAGUUGCAGGGUAUAGACCCGAAACCCGGUGAUCUAGCCAUGGGCAGGUUGAAGGUUGGGUAACACUAACUGGAGGACCGAACCGACUAAUGUUGAAAAAUUAGCGGAUGACCUGUGGCUGGGGGUGAAAGGCCAAUCAAACCGGGAGAUAGCUGGUUCUCCCCGAAAGCUAUUUAGGUAGCGCCUCGUGAAUUCAUCUCCGGGGGUAGAGCACUGUUUCGGCUAGGGGGCCAUCCCGGCUUACCAACCCGAUGCAAACUGCGAAUACCGGAGAAUGUUAUCACGGGAGACACACGGCGGGUGCUAACGUCCGUCGUGAAGAGGGAAACAACCCAGACCGCCAGCUAAGGUCCCAAAGUCAUGGUUAAGUGGGAAACGAUGUGGGAAGGCCCAGACAGCCAGGAUGUUGGCUUAGAAGCAGCCAUCAUUUAAAGAAAGCGUAAUAGCUCACUGGUCGAGUCGGCCUGCGCGGAAGAUGUAACGGGGCUAAACCAUGCACCGAAGCUGCGGCAGCGACACUCAGGUGUUGUUGGGUAGGGGAGCGUUCUGUAAGCCUGUGAAGGUGGCCUGUGAGGGUUGCUGGAGGUAUCAGAAGUGCGAAUGCUGACAUAAGUAACGAUAAAGCGGGUGAAAAGCCCGCUCGCCGGAAGACCAAGGGUUCCUGUCCAACGUUAAUCGGGGCAGGGUGAGUCGACCCCUAAGGCGAGGCCGAAAGGCGUAGUCGAUGGGAAACGGGUUAAUAUUCCCGUACUUGGUGUUACUGCGAAGGGGGGACGGAGAAGGCUAUGUUGGCCGGGCGACGGUUGUCCCGGUUUAAGCGUGUAGGUGUGUGUUCCAGGUAAAUCCGGUUCACUUUAACACUGAGGCGUGAUGACGAGGCACUACGGUGCUGAAGCAACAAAUGCCCUGCUUCCAGGAAAAGCCUCUAAGCAUCAGGUAACAUCAAAUCGUACCCCAAACCGACACAGGUGGUCAGGUAGAGAAUACCAAGGCGCUUGAGAGAACUCGGGUGAAGGAACUAGGCAAAAUGGUGCCGUAACUUCGGGAGAAGGCACGCUGACAU
rnacentral:rRNA from 1 species